UCAUACUUUUAAGACUCACUGAUGGGUUAAAUUGUGCUGCCAAGCCAAUUGCUGGCGCAUAACUGGAGCCUGCCCAUCUCUGGAGGCCCUUUUAACUGCUAGCUACAGGC